CGUCACCGUCACCGUCACCGUCACCCUCGCCGUCAGCUGCCUCCAUGACCUGGUCUGCUCCCCCGCCGUGGUCAGGGUCCGUGAGAGCAGCGAGGUGAUGGUCACCCACUGGCAGAUGGCAAUGAGGACAGCACGCUAUCCUGUGACUAUCAGGGCCCUCUGCCAGGCAGCGUGGGGAGCGUCUCUGGUCCAGACUCCGCCGCCGCCGCCGCCGUGCAUCCUGCCCCUCCCAGGCUGGGGAGAGACAUCAGCCCACCUGAGGGAAAGAAGCAGAGACUGAUGGGAGUCCCACCACCUCUAACUGGCUCUGUCUGUGUCCCAGGGCCCACGGGGAGGGCUCAGACACCUGGAGCUGACGCUGGAGCUAAGAAGGGGUCAGGACCACGUGGGGUCAGGCUGCACCUGGGCCCUCACCGGGAUCGGAGGUGCCGGCCCGGGAGCCUCGCCCCUGCUCCUGAGCGGCUAUGACCUCCUGUGAGUGCUCACUGUGCCCCAGGGCCUGGCUCUCAAUCCUACUACUGCCCCGAGGAGGGAAGGGGGUUUGGGUGGCUGGGGGCGGUGGAGGCCUCACUUUUUUUUCUUAACCAAGGCAGUGAAGGCCUAGAGAGUGUCCGUGAC